AGAACGAACGCUGGCGGCAGGCUUAACACAUGCAAGUCGAACGCCCCGCAAGGGGAGUGGCAGACGGGUGAGUAACACGUGGGAACAUACCCUUCGGUUCGGAACAACGUUUGGAAACGAACGCUAAUACCGGAUACGGCCUAUGGGCAAAAGAUUCAUCGCCGAAGGAUUGGCCCGCGUUCGAUUAGCUUGAUGGUGAGGUAACGGCUCACCAUGGCGACGAUCGAUAGCUGGU
rnacentral:rRNA from 1 species